UACGGGGGGGACAAGCGUUGUUCGGAAUUACUGGGCGUAAAGGGCGCGUAGGCGGCUCGUCAAGUCGGGCGUGAAAUCUCCGGGCUUAACCCGGAAAAGUCGUUCGAUACUGUUGAGCUAGAGUGUGGAAGGGGCUACUGGAAUUCCGUGUGUAGCGGUGAAAUGCGUUGAUAUACGGAGGAACACCAGCGGCGAAGGCGGGUAGCUGGGCCAACACUGACGCUGAUGCGCGAAAGCCAGGGGAGCAAACGGG
rnacentral:rRNA from 1 species